rnacentral:lncRNA from 1 species
CCGUGCCCGGCCUUAAGAUAAUUCUUCUAUAGGAACACAGUUUAUUUACUAUAAUAAGAGAGAACGGCAGGCCCCUUUCUAUACAUUCAGUGCCGAAUAAACGCAGUCAUUAACAUGUGACAAAUAAUUAAUUGCUAUUUGAUUAUCUAGUGUUAUUUUUUAAGUGCCUUUUUCUUUUUUCUUUGAGACAGGGUCUCACUCUAUCACCCAGGCUGGAGUGCAGUAGCGUGAACACAGCUCACUGCAGCCUCAACCUCCCAGGCCCAGGUAA